rnacentral:rRNA from 1 species
ACGCUCGACACCUACGGGAGGUAGCAGUGGGGAAUAUUGCACAAUGGGGGAAACCCUGAUGCAGCAACGCCGCGUGAAGGAAGACGGUUUUCGGAUUGUAAACUUCUGUUCUUAGUGAAGAUAGUGACGGUAGCUAAGGAGCAAGCCACGGCUAACUACGUGCCCGCAGCCGCGGUAAUCUGAGCGGGCUGGCAAGGC